UGGUGGAGUGAUUUGUCUGGUUAAUUCCGUUAACGAACGAGACCUCAGCCUGCUAAAUAGUACUCGUUAUCGUCUGAUAGCGUGAGACUUCUUAGAGGGACAAUUCGGGUUCACCGGAUGGAAGUUUGAGGCAAUAACA
rnacentral:rRNA from 1 species